CUUGUAAUUCAAGCACAACAUCCGAUUUUUGAUCUAGGGAAACACUGUUGCAGUGGAUUUCUGGAAGUCCCAAGUGACUCAAUAAGCACUCUUUAUAAUCUGGCUAAUUAGUGGGACCGCUGUUCUGUUUUUUUUUUGUUAAUUAGACAUUAAUGUAUGAUUCGUGACGUUAUGACAUGGUAGGUCACAGGAAAGAGCUACUGAGCUAUAGAUUUAUACACCAAAACUAAGACUUUGCCAAUAAAUAUACAAACAUUUUCGCUUUAUUUCUGUAGUACCUUGGAUCAAUACUUGCG